UUCUCCUACGGGGGGCAGCAGUGAGGAAUAUUGGUCAAUGGUCGGGAGACUGAACCAGCCAAGCCGCGUGAGGGAGGAAGGUACAGAGUAUCGUAAACCUCUUUUGUCAGGGAACAAAGGCGGGGACGUGUCCCCGGAUGAGUGUACCUGAAGAAAAAGCAUCGGCUAACUCCGUGCCAGCAGCCGCGGUAAUACGGAGGAUGCGAGCGUUAUCCGGAUUUAUUGGGUUUAAAGGGUGCGCAGGCGGCCUGUUAAGUCAGCGGUAAAAGCCCGGGGCUCAACCCCGGCGAGCCGUUGAAACUGGG
rnacentral:rRNA from 1 species